ensembl:snRNA U6 U6 spliceosomal RNA
GUACUCACUUUGGCAGCACAUACUAAAAUUGGAACUAUACAGAGAUUAUCGUGGCCACUGUACAAGGAAGACAUGCAAAUUUAUGAAAUGUUCCAUAAUUUA